GAUGAAGGUGAAACAUACAGGAUCUUAGUAUGCAGAAGCUUUUGCUUUCUAAAUUUUACAUAUCUCAUGCUGGAACUGCUUUUAUAAGAAAUACAUUUUCCAUCAGCAUUAUCCCUACCAUUCCCCACAUAGUAUACCUGGUACUGCCUUGCUUGCCUAGCACUCUCACACAAUAUAAAUCCUACUAAAACAAGACACUUGAGCAUCCAAGUAGCAUAACAGAUAUUAGUUUCGGCUCCUUGUGUGCUAUGGGAAAAGAACAAUAGCUUCAAGAGAAGACCAGAUGAGAGCAAGGAAGGAUUGACUGCUUAGAAGAAAGUGCAGAUGCUGUCAGGAAGUCUCUAUUUUCACACACACGGAGCACUUUUCUCACUUGCAGAAAAAAAGGCAAAGUGAAAGGCAUCUCCUCCCUACCCAAAGGAGCAAGUCAGGGAGUGAAGCCUGUGGGUGAAGAUCAAGACUGAGGGAAAAAGGGAGGUCCCUAGAUGAAUCAUGAGAAUCCCUUUUAAAACACACUCAGCUAUGGACAAGAGAAAACUGCAGCAGCUCCAACUUCCACCCAUUGCCUCUCAAAGCCCAGUGGCACUUCCUGAGAGCUUGGGGCCUUCACUUCCGGAGAACAAACCAGAACUGUUUCCACUGUGAACUUUUCUACUUUAAGAUUAGAAUGAAAAGUAGAUAAUUGCAGAGUUGCCUUUUAACAUUAUCUAUGACCAUGUGCAGUGUCAUUAGUAGCCAAGGUUGCUAAUCUUAUGCAGUAAUUCUG
rnacentral:lncRNA from 1 species